rnacentral:rRNA from 1 species
UACGUAGGUGACCAGCGUUGUCCGGAUUUACUGGGCGUAAAGAGCGCGCAGGCGGUCGUUCAAGUCGAGUGUGAAAGCCCCCGGCUCAACUGGGGAGGGUCACUCGAUACUGAUCGACUUGAAGGCAGGAGAGGGAAGCGGAAUUCCCGGUGUAGUGGUGAAAUGCGUAGAUAUCGGGAGGAACACCAGUGGCGAAGGCGGCUUCCUGGCCUGUUCUUGGCGCUGAGGAGCGAAAGCAUGGGGAGCGAACAGG